AUAAUGGAGACGAUAGCUCAAAAGUCAUAACUCGAGAAGCAACGAAGAAACAACUACGAGAGAUCUAAAGAAGCUAGAAAGAUUUACUAGAGAUUUACAACACUUUAACUAAAAGAAGAUUCAUUCAACUCAACACUAAAGAACAAAAAUGAAAUCAACGAUCGUUUUUUUCCUUAUCUGUCUUUCUCUCGUAUCUCUGUACACAAGUCCUAUCGAGGGAAGACCCAAGACUAGAGGUUAUGGACCAGCCGCGCUCAAUCAUAAUUAUUGCUUCGACGGAUGCCAACAAAAUGCUGGAAGAUGCAUGUUUCAAUGCACCGACACUCGAGGCCUUCACUACUCAAAAUGCCGACAAAUGUGCAUGGGAAACAGCUUCUAUCAAUGCAUCUUCGGAUGUCUAUAAAGAGAGAAUAACUGACGAAUACAGUAUCAACUACGCAUGACCGGAAGUAUGCCAARGAAUGUAUAGCGCGCAUGACUGGAAAUAAUAGAAGAAAUAAACAGUGCGCAUGACCGGAAGUCAACGAUAAACAUUAUGACGCCAUUUGCUUUAAUUAUUGUUAAUUUUAUUUUUAAUUCAUGUUUAAGAUUCUUUAGCGCUAUGCGAAGAAUACUAUUAUUUAAAGGAAAACUUUAAUACAAAAAAAUAUUUAUUUAUAAAGAAAUUAUUUUUCUCCUUGAAACAGAAAGAUGUGAACAUUUAGUGUAAUCUUAGUUACCAUAGAAACUGUUCUCAUGGAGACGAAUAUACCGAAGAAAAAUUGCCAUUUAUAGGAGUAUAUUGAAAUUAUAAUUAUAAAAAUCAGGAAUAUCUGAGAAUUAUGAAUGAUCGCCGAUAUGUAAAUAUAUAAUUGAAAAAAAUUAAUGAAAUUAAACAAAUAUUCUAGAAUUGA